rnacentral:tRNA from 1 species
GUCGGAGUGGUGGAACCGGCAGACACGUACGUUUGAGGGGCGUAUCCGUAACUGGGUGCGGGUUCAAGUCCCGCCUCCGACACCA